UCUCGUACUGGAGCCUCAACACAGAAUGCAGAAGAUCCGAACAUACCAUCCGCAGUCCACCAAAAAAACCUUUGGAAGGUUACAUCAUCUGUAUGCUGCUUGGGGACUACCAGGUUUACAAAAUUCUUCCAGCUUCAUUCAACACCAAAAUAAUCAAUGUACCUCAAAUCAAUGGGAAAUUGGAUAAGGAACAUUUUCAAAGUAUAGUUGGCUGUGUUGAUAUGUUUCAGAUACUUCUACCCCUGACCUGACAGUUCUGGAAUUAGUCACAGGCAGCAGGAAAAAAAACUAAAAUCGAGAAACAACAUACAGACACACUGCGGGCAGAACUAUCCCUCUGCUUAUUCUGCUAUUAGAAAGGCAUCUCCUUUUACAGUCAUCAUCCUAUGAGGUCCACUGAUUCAAGGAAGCAGCUGGCAUGACCCAUCAUGCAUGAGUCUGUAGCUCUGUGUCUUGUGACUCACUCUAUGGCUGAGAUCUUACACUGAUGCUGUAACACAACACAUCAAAAAACUUCCACACACAGAUACUGAUGAUAUAGAACAGGUCACGAAAACUAAUAAUGAUAACUAUGUAUAAAAAGGUCAUUUAGGCACAAGGUUUUUAAAAUGGUCUUUUCAUUGCGCCAACUAACAGAAUGCUCCUGCUUAUCGGACCGUUCUGUUCAUUGCUACUGAUUGCACCAGAAUCACUCUAAUGUAUAACCCCACAGCUUAUUAAUUGAAUGUACAAUAAUAAUGCAUACGCAGAUA